CUUUCCCCUGUCAUUGCGCCCAAAAAAGCAAGGCCUUCUGAGACUGGAUCUGAUGAUGACUGGGAAUAUUUACUAAAUUCAGACUACCACCAGAGUGUUGAGUCUCAUCUUUUGAACAGAUCUUUAUGUCUGAGUCCUUCAGAAGCUUCACAGAUGAAGGAUGAGGAUUUUUCACAGAAUCUCAGUCUGGAUUCUUCUACACUUCUCUUUACUCACAUACCUGCAAUUUUUUUUGUUCUUCACCUUGUGUAUGAGGAGCUUAAGUUGAAUACUCUAAUGGGAGAAGGAAUUUGUUCACUCGUUGAACUUCUCGUUCAGUUGGCAAGGGACUUAAAAUUGGGGCCUUAUGUAGAUCAUUACUAUAGAGACUACCCAACGCUUGUCAGAACUACUGGACAAGUGUGCACAAUUGAUCCAGGUCAAACAGGAUUUAUGCAUCAUCCAUCAUUUUUUACGUCUGAGCCACCAAGUAUUUAUCAGUGGGUGAGUUCUUGUCUGAAGGGCGAAGGAAUGCCGCCUUAUCCUUACCUCCCUGGAAUCUGUGAAAGAAGCAGACUUGUAGUCUUGAGUAUUGCACUGUACAUACUUGGUGAUGAGAGCUCGGUUUCUGAUGAAUCCUCACAGUAUUUAACCAGAAUAACUGUAGCCCCCCAGAAGUUGCAAGCAGAACAAGUGGAAAACAGGUUUAGUUUCAGGCAUUCUACGUCUGUUUCUAGUCUAGCUGAAAGAUUGGUUGGCUGGAUGACUAAUGUAGGAUUCACUUUAAGAGAUUUGGAAACUCUUCCCUUUGGAAUUGCUCUUCCCAUCAGAGAUGCAAUUUAUCACUGUCGUGAGCAGCCUGCCUCAGACUGGCCAGAAGCUGUCUGUCUCUUGAUUGGACGUCAGGAUCUUUCCAAGCAGGCCUGCGAAGGAAACUUACCCAAAGGGAAGUCUGUGCUCUCAUCAGAUGUUCCUUCAGGUACAGAAACUGAGGAGAAAGAUGAUGGCAUGAAUGACAUGAAUCACGAGGUCAUGUCAUUAAUAUGGAGUGAAGAUUUAAGGGUGCAGGAUGUGCGAAGGCUUCUUCAGAGUGCGCAUCCUGUCCGUGUCAACGUAGUGCAGUACCCAGAGCUCAGUGACCACGAGUUCAUCGAGGAAAAGGAAAACAGAUUACUCCAAUUGUGUCAGCAAACUAUGGCUCUUCCUGUAGGACGAGGAAUGUUUACCUUUUUUUCGUACCAUCCUGUUCCAACAGAGCCAUUGCCUAUUCCUAAAUUGAAUCUGACUGGGCGUGCCCCUCCUCGGAACACAACAGUAGACCUUAAUAGUGGAAACAUCGAUGUGCCUCCCAACAUGACAAGCUGGGCCAGCUUUCAUAAUGGUGUGGCUGCUGGCCUGAAGAUAGCUCCUGCCUCCCAGAUCGACUCAGCUUGGAUUGUUUACAAUAAGCCCAAGCAUGCUGAGUUAGCCAAUGAGUAUGCUGGCUUUCUCGUGGCUCUGGGUUUGAAUGGGUACCUUACCAAGCUGGCGACUUUCAAUAUCCAUGACUACUUGACCAAGGGCCAUGAAAUGACAAGCAUUGGACUGCUACUUGGUGUUUCUGCUGCAAAACUAGGCACCAUGGAUAUGUCUAUUACUCGGCUUCUUAGCAUUCGCAUUCCUGCUCUCUUACCCCCAACGUCCACAGAGCUGGAUGUUCCUCACAAUGUCCAAGUGGCUGCAGUGGUUGGCAUUGGCCUUGUAUAUCAAGGGACAGCUCACAGACAUACUGCAGAAGUCCUGUUGGCUGAGAUAGGACGGCCUCCUGGUCCUGAAAUGGAAUACUGCACUGACAGAGAGUCAUACUCCUUAGCUGCUGGCUUGGCCCUGGGCAUGGUCUGCUUGGGGCAUGGCAGCAAUUUGAUAGGUAUGUCUGAUCUCAAUGUGCCUGAGCAGCUCUAUCAGUACAUGGUUGGAGGACGUAGGCGCUUUCAAACAGGAAUGCAUAGGGAGAAACAUAAAUCACCAAGUUAUCAAAUCAAAGAAGGAGAUACCAUAAAUGUGGAUGUGACUUGUCCAGGUGCUACUCUAGCUUUGGCUAUGAUCUACUUAAAAACCAAUAACAGAUCUAUUGCAGAUUGGCUCCGAGCCCCUGACACCAUGUAUUUGUUGGACUUUGUGAAGCCAGAAUUUCUCUUGCUUAGGACACUUGCUCGAUGCCUGAUUUUGUGGGAUGAUAUUUUACCAAAUUCCAAGUGGGUUGACAGCAAUGUUCCUCAAAUUAUAAGAGAAAAUAGUAUCUCUCUCAGUGAAAUCGAAUUGCCGUGCUCAGAGGAUUUGAAUUUGGAAACUUUGUCCCAAGCACAUGUCUACAUAAUUGCAGGAGCCUGUUUGUCUCUGGGUUUUUGAUUUGCUGGCUCAGAAAACUUACCAGCAUUUAACUGUUUGCAUAAAUUUGCCAAAGAUUUUAUGACUUAUUUGUCUGCACCUAAUGCUUCUGUUACAGGUCCUCAUAACCUAGAAACUUGUCUGAGCGUGGUGCUGCUGUCUCUCCCCAUGGUCAUGGCUGGCUCAGGAAACCUAAAGGUUUUGCAGCUUUGUCGCUUCUUACACAUGAAAACGGGUGGUGAAAUGAACUAUGGUUUUCACUUAGCCCACCACAUGGCCCUUGGACUUCUAUUUUUGGGAGGAGGAAGUUACUCUUUGAGCACAUCAAAUUCUUCCAUUGCCGCUCUUCUCUGUGCCCUUUAUCCGCACUUCCCAGCUCACAGCACUGACAACCGGUAUCAUCUCCAGGCUCUCCGGCACCUCUAUGUGCUGGCCGCGGAGCCCAGGCUUCUAGUGCCUGUGGAUGUGGACACAAACACGCCCUGCUAUGCCCUCUUAGAAGUUACCUACAAGGGCACUCAGUGGUAUGAACAAACCAAAGAAGAAUUGAUGGCUCCUACCCUUCUUCCAGAACUCCAUCUUUUAAAGCAGAUUAAAGUAAAAGGCCCAAGAUACUGGGAACUGCUCAUAGAUUUAAGCAAAGGAACACAACACUUGAAGUCCAUCCUUUCCAAGGAUGGGGUUUUAUAUGUUAAACUCCGGGCGGGUCAGCUCUCCUACAAAGAAGAUCCAAUGGGAUGGCAAAGUUUGUUGGCUCAGACUGUUGCUAACAGGAACUCUGAAGCCCGGGCUUUCAAGCCAGAAACAAUCUCAGCAUUCACUUCUGAUCCAGCACUUCUGUCAUUUGCUGAAUAUUUCUGCAAGCCAACUGUGAACAUGGGUCAGAAACAGGAAAUUCUGGAUCUCUUUUCUUCAGUACUCUAUGAAUGUGUUACCCAGGAGACCUCAGAGAUGUUGCCUGCAUACAUAGCAAUGGAUCAGGCUAUAAGAAGACUUGGGAGAAGAGAAAUGUCUGAGACUUCUGAACUUUGGCAGAUAAAGUUGGUGUUAGAGUUUUUCAGCUCCCGAAGCCAUCAGGAGCGGCUGCAGAACCACCCUAAGCGGGGGCUCUUUAUGAACUCGGAAUUCCUCCCUGUUGUGAAGUGCACCAUUGAUAAUACCCUGGACCAGUGGCUACAAGUCGGGGGUGAUAUGUGUGUGCACGCCUACCUCAGCGGGCAGCCCUUGGAGGAAUCACAGCUGAGCAUGCUGGCCUGCUUCCUCGUCUACCACUCUGUGCCAGCUCCACAGCACCUGCCACCUAUAGGACUAGAAGGGAGCACAAGCUUUGCUGAACUGCUCUUCAAAUUUAAGCAGCUAAAAAUGCCAGUGCGAGCUUUGCUGAGAUUGGCUCCUUUGCUUCUUGGAAAUCCACAGCCAAUGGUGAUGUGACCGUGUCUGGCGGUGAACCUACCCUGAAACGUGACUUCUGCACAAAAAACGUGACCAAACAUCAAAGCUAAAGCAAUGUUUAUAAAGUUUUAUGGUAUAACUAGGGGGAAAUGAGCUGCACAAACCUCAAUGUAUUUUAAAUCUGUUGCUGUCAUCAUUAACGGUAUAUGACAUAUAAAAGCAAGUUAAAAUUUACUUUUGUAAAUAAAGUUUUUGGUUUGUUUCCAAAA